GGCACGGUGGUUUAGUGGAUAGUACUGUUGCCUCACACCUCCACGGUUGGAGGUUCAAUUCCUUCUUCCGCCC